CAUAUACUCCCUCCGUCCGGAAAUACUUGUCAGAAAAAUUGAUAAAAUGGAUGUAUCUAGAACUAAAUAUGUCUAGAUACAUCCAUCUCUUCGACAAAUAUUUUCGGACGGAGGGAGUAUGUG
rfam:Triticum aestivum genome assembly, contig: Triticum_aestivum_CS42_TGACv1_scaffold_112617_2AS